UUUCCGUAGGUGAACCUGCGGAAGGAUCAUUAUUGUAUAACCGAGGUGCGAGACCUCUGGCUGCCCCCAUAUGUAGUUCCCGCCCGACUGCCCUCACACACACCCAUCUCACCCCUAUGGACACCACCGCGCGCGUCCCGCUUUGACUUGUUCGGAGGGGGGCAUGCGUUCUCCCACAAACUAUGUAUGAAGUGUAGAAUGUAUUUUUUGUUUGGGCGAUCACGAAAUCAAUACAACUUUCAACAACGGAUCUCUUGGCUCUG
rnacentral:misc_RNA from 1 species